rnacentral:lncRNA from 1 species
UUAUUUAAAACUGAGAGGUUUUAGGUUUGAUUUUCACCAAAAGUGAAUUUAAACCAUAUUAUUACUAGUUUAUUUUAAAGCUAAACUCAUAUUCUCCCCUAAAUAUAGAUAAUAUUAUAUGACAAAAAACUUGUAGAUAAUAUCAUAUUUAAAAAAAAAUAUUUAAUUUAAAAAUCAUUAAAAACUAACUAAAAUAAAACAAAAAACAAUAAGGGUUGCUUUGUACAUACCCCACAUUUACUUUUUAGAUUAAAAUUUAUCUUAAUACACCUUACAUACUUUCCAAUACUACCCUUACACCCACACUCUUUGUGAAAUUUAAGAUUUCUUUUUAUAUUCUCUAUUUAGUUUUCUGCACAUUUAACGGGUUUAGUCUUCCAUCAAUUUUCUGCACAUUUAGUUAUGAUUAUAGAUUUUUAUUUCUUUUUUUUUUUAUGAAAAUAUCACUUUCAUUAACAUGAGGAAUCAAAAAACAGUACAAGAGGAGAGAGCCAACUAGGCUCCUCUUCAAUCCCAGAUUUAAAAUCAUUAG